rnacentral:rRNA from 1 species
GACAGAGGGUGCAAACGUUGUUCGGAAUUACUGGGCGUAAAGCGCGUGUAGGCGGCUAUGCAAGUCGGGCGUGAAAUCCCACGGCUCAACCGUGGAAGUGCACUCGAAACUGCGUAGCUAGAGUCUCGGAGAGGAAGGUGGAAUACUUGGUGUAGAGGUGAAAUUCGUAGAUAUCAAGUGGAACACCGGUGGCGAAGGCGGGUCUCUGGGCCGAUACUGACGCUGAGGAGCGAAAGCGUGGGGAGCGAACAGG